UAUAUAUAUAAAGAGCGAAAAUUUCAGUUUGCCAAAUAUUUUCUUCUGCCUCACGUUUCUAGAAGGGCAAAAAUAAAAUAAAAAACAUUCUAGAGUUCCUAAUGCAAAAUCUUAUAUUAGUCCGCUCUCGCCUCUGUAGGCCCUAUCAGCCCAGCGAUGGAAGGUAGAAAAAAAAUAAAAAAUUUUCUAGAGUUCCCAAUAUAAAAUCUUCAAUUUACUUUUAUUUUAUUUUUUAAAUCGGCUGAGAAUUAAUAAAUACAUAGUAAUUCAUUUAUUUUAUUUUUUAAAUCGGCUGAGAAUUAAUAAAUACAUAGUAAUUCAUAGAAAAAUCUAAAAAUUAUAAAACAAAUUUUGUUCAGCUCUACAUAUGUAGAUCCAUGCAGUAAAUAAAAAAUAUCACAAAUUUUAGUACACUUUUUUUGAAAAUGCUUGCCUAUGCUUUUUACUCUAAAAUUAAAAUUGUAGUUAUCUUGCUCCAAUUAUUAUAAAAAUUUAAUGGUAGCCUAUUUAAUGUGAUGCUUGAUUCAUAUUUCAUAGCAAUCCUAAUCUAAAUUAAAAAAAUAAUGCUAGCAUCAAACUUCUCAUGUUUUAAUAUAAUACUGAGGCAUAUUAAGAGGUAAUAUUAGAGUGAGAUAAGAUUUAACUAUUUUCUAUUUUUAUUAUUAAAUAAAUAUGUCUUUAAGCUACAUAUUAUUGUAAAUAUUAACUAUCUAAUACCAUAGAUGUUAUGGUUAUCAAUAAAAUAAAUUAUGGACUUUAAAUUUUAUAAAAUAGAUAAAUAUAAAUAGAUAUGUAACAUUAUGUCAUCACUUUCUAGGGUUAUUUGAUGUUUUUCUUCCGUUGCAAUAUUACCAAAUUGAGGAAAAGCAAUUUAUAUACCUAUCUAUAAAGAGCGAAAAUUUCAGUUUGCCAAAUAUUUUCUUCUGCCCCUAAUCCUGUCCGUGUUCGGUUUACUGAUCGCCUCCUCCGUCCAACGUUUCUAGAAGGGCAAAAAUAAAAUAAAAAACAUUCUAGAGUUCCUAAUGCAAAAUCUUAUAUUAGUCCGCUCUCGCCUCUGUAGGCCCUAUCAGCCCAGCGAUGGAAGGUAGAAAAAAAUAAAAAAUUUUCUAGAGUUCCCAAUAUAAAAUCUUCAAUUUACUUUUAUUUUAUUUUUUAAAUCGGCUGAGAAUUAAUAAAUACAUAGUAAUUCAUUUAUUUUAUUUUUUAAAUCGGCUGAGAAUUAAUAAAUACAUAAUAAUUCAUAGAAAAAUCUAAAAAUUAUAAAACAAAUUUUGUUCAGCUCUACAUAUGUAGAUCCAUGCAGUAAAUAAAAAAUAUCACAAAUUUUAGUACACUUUUUUUGAAAAUGCUUGCCUAUGCUUUUUACUCUAAAAUUAAAAUUGUAGUUAUCUUGCUCCAAUUAUUAUAAAAAUUUAAUGGUAGCCUAUUUAAUGUGAUGCUUGAUUCAUAUUUCAUAGCAAUCCUAAUCUAAAUUAAAAAAAUAAUGCUAGCAUCAAACUUCUCAUGUUUUAAUAUAAUACUGAGGCAUAUUAAGAGGUAAUAUUAGAGUGAGAUAAGAUUUAACUAUUUUCUAUUUUUAUUAUUAAAUAAAUAUGUCUUUAAGCUACAUAUUAUUGUAAAUAUUAACUAUCUAAUACCAUAGAUGUUAUGGUUAUCAAUAAAAUAAAUUAUGGACUUUAAAUUUUAUAAAAUAGAUAAAUAUAAAUAGAUAUGUAACAUUAUGUCAUCACUUUCUAGGGUUAUUUGAUGUUUUUCUUCCGUUGCAAUAUUACCAAAUUGAGGAAAAGCAAUUUAUAUACCUAUCUAUAAAGAGCGAAAAUUUCAGUUUGCCAAAUAUUUUCUUCUGCCCCUAAUCCUGUCCGUGUUCGGUUUACUGAUCGCCUCCUCCGUCCAACGUUUCUAGAAGGGCAAAAAUAAAAUAAAAAACAUUCUAGAGUUCCUAAUGCAAAAUCUUAUAUUAGUCCGCUCUCGCCUCUGUAGGCCCUAUCAGCCCAGCGAUGGAAGGUAGAAAAAAAAUAAAAAAUUUUCUAGAGUUCCCAAUAUAAAAUCUUCAAUUUACUUUUAUUUUAUUUUUUAAAUCGGCUGAGAAUUAAUAAAUACAUAGUAAUUCAUUUAUUUUAUUUUUUAAAUCGGCUGAGAAUUAAUAAAUACAUAGUAAUUCAUAGAAAAAUCUAAAAAUUAUAAAACAAAUUUUGUUCAGCUCUACAUAUGUAGAUCCAUGC
rnacentral:lncRNA from 1 species